rnacentral:siRNA from 1 species
GGGUGAGGUCGAGUGGCAGGUC